GAUGAACGCUGGCGGCGUGCCUAAUACAUGCAAGUCGAGCGAACGGACGAGAAGCUUGCUUCUCUGAUGUUAGCGGCGGACGGGUGAGAAACACGUGGAUAACCUACCUAUAAGACUGGGAUAACUUCGGGAAACCGGAGCUAAUACCGGAUGAUAUUUUGAACCGCAUGGUUCAAAAGUGAAAGACGGUCUUGCUGUCACUUAUAGAUGGAUCCGCGCUGCAUUAGCUAGUUGGUAAGGUAACGGCUUACCAAGGCAACGAUGCAUAGCCGACCUGAGAGGGUGAUCGGCCACACUGGAACUGAGACACGGUCCAGACUCCUACGGGAGGCAGCAGUAGGGAAUCUUCCGCAAUGGGCGAAAGCCUGACGGAGCAACGCCGCGUGAGUGAUGAAGGUCUUCGGAUCGUAAAACUCUGUUAUUAGGGAAGAACAUAUGUGUAAGUAACUGUGCACAUCUUGACGGUACCUAAUCAGAAAGCCACGGCUAACUACGUG
rnacentral:rRNA from 1 species